UACGUAGGGUGCGAGCGUUGUCCGGAAUUAUUGGGCGUAAAGAGCUUGUAGGCGGUUUGUCGCGUCUGCUGUGAAAAUCCGGGGCUCAACCCCGGACUUGCAGUGGGUACGGGCAGACUAGAGUGUGGUAGGGGAGACUGGAAUUCCUGGUGUAGCGGUGAAAUGCGCAGAUAUCGGGAAGAACACCCGUGGCGAAGGCGGCUCUCUGGGACGGUACUGACGCUGAGACGCGAAAGCGUGGGGAGCGAACAGG
rnacentral:rRNA from 1 species